AGAGUUUGAUCAUGGCUCAGAUUGAACGCUGGCGGCAGGCCUAACACAUGCAAGUCGAACGGUAACAGGAAGCAGCUUGCUGCUUUGCUGACGAGUGGCGGACGGGUGAGUAAUGUCUGGGAAACUGCCUGAUGGAGGGGGAUAACUACUGGAAACGGUGGCUAAUACCGCAUAACGUCGCAAGACCAAAGAGGGGGACCUUCGGGCCUCUUGCCAUCAGAUGUGCCCAGAUGGGAUUAGCUUGUUGGUGAGGUAACGGCUCACCAAGGCGACGAUCCCUAGCUGGUCUGAGAGGAUGACCAGCCACACUGGAACUGAGACACGGUCCAGACUCCUACGGGAGGCAGCAGUGGGGAAUAUUGCACAAUGGGCGCAAGCCUGAUGCAGCCAUGCCGCGUGUAUGAAGAAGGCCUUCGGGUUGUAAAGUACUUUCAGCGGGGAGGAAGGUGUUGUGGUUAAUAACCACAGCAAUUGACGUUACCCGCAGAAGAAGCACCGGCUAACUCCGUGCCAGCAGCCGCGGUAAUACGGAGGGUGCAAGCGUUAAUCGGAAUUACUGGGCGUAAAGCGCACGCAGGCGGUCUGUCAAGUCGGAUGUGAAAUCCCCGGGCUCAACCUGGGAACUGCAUUCGAAACUGGCAGGCUUGAGUCUUGUAGAGGGGGGUAGAAUUCCAGGUGUAGCGGUGAAAUGCGUAGAGAUCUGGAGGAAUACCGGUGGCGAAGGCGGCCCCCUGGACAAAGACUGACGCUCAGGUGCGAAAGCGUGGGGAGCAAACAGGAUUAGAUACCCUGGUAGUCCACGCCGUAAACGAUGUCUACUUGGAGGUUGUGCCCUUGAGGCGUGGCUUCCGGAGCUAACGCGUUAAGUAGACCGCCUGGGGAGUACGGCCGCAAGGUUAAAACUCAAAUGAAUUGACGGGGGCCCGCACAAGCGGUGGAGCAUGUGGUUUAAUUCGAUGCAACGCGAAGAACCUUACCUGGUCUUGACAUCCACAGAACUUUCCAGAGAUGAGAUUGUGCCUUCGGGAACUGUGAGACAGGUGCUGCAUGGCUGUCGUCAGCUCGUGUUGUGAAAUGUUGGGUUAAGUCCCGCAACGAGCGCAACCCUUAUCCUUUGUUGCCAGCGGUCCGGCCGGGAACUCAAAGGAGACUGCCAGUGAUAAACUGGAGGAAGGUGGGGAUGACGUCAAGUCAUCAUGGCCCUUACGACCAGGGCUACACACGUGCUACAAUGGCGCAUACAAAGAGAAGCGACCUCGCGAGAGCAAGCGGACCUCAUAAAGUGCGUCGUAGUCCGGAUUGGAGUCUGCAACUCGACUCCAUGAAGUCGGAAUCGCUAGUAAUCGUGGAUCAGAAUGCCACGGUGAAUACGUUCCCGGGCCUUGUACACACCGCCCGUCACACCAUGGGAGUGGGUUGCAAAAGAAGUAGGUAGCUUAACCUUCGGGAGGGCGCUUACCACUUUGUGAUUCAUGACUGGGGUGAAGUCGUAACAAGGUAACCGUAGGGGAACCUGCGGUUG
rnacentral:rRNA from 2 species